rnacentral:lncRNA from 1 species
AUAGAGGUGGGAGGACGACCAAGAGGGUCCAAGGGUCGUGCUCCACCAGAUUGGGGCGCACCCCACAUGGGCCCCACAUGGGCCAGGGUCCCAAACAAAGUUACAAGCCCAUUGGCCCAAUACAGGUGACGCAGCACCUUUCUUUUGUGAUUGCGGCCAAACGAGAUAGAAUUCCGAGAUGAGGCUAGAUCCGUUGGAAGGAGGACUUCGAGAGCUUUCCAUCAAGUACUCACGGGCCCAAAACGGAGCACGUAUGUAGAUUUGGCGGCCGUUUGAAGUCAGCAAUGUAACACGUGGCCGAAUCAGAUUGCAGCACAUGGAGGACUUGAUCUUGAUGUCUUUUUGUUGAUUCAUGAUGUGAGCAAUGGUCAUAUCCAUAGUAGACAUGGUCACAUCAUCCUCCCCUUCUUCACAGAAAACUGUCCUCGGUUUUUCCAUAUGGUGCUCUUCGCGCAGUCCACUGAAAACAACAUGUUUCUUGCAAUCAAAACAAGACAAACUCAAGACAAUAUGAUUAGCAGUAACAUGUCUUUCUAGCUUGCAUAUUUUAUCCGGAACUACAAGAUGUUCUAAAUCCAAGCAAAUGUAAACUCUAUGCACCAAAAAUAUUCCUCUAUCAUUAUAUUCGCCAAAGAUAUGAAAAAUAGCAUUAGUUGGACAUGGCAAAUCAGAUUUAGCAAAUAAUUUCUCCUUCAAAUUAUCGAGCUCACAAAAAUCAUCAAACUGAACAUAGCCCAAAGUAUUUAAAGAAGAUAGCAAUUCGCGUUCCUCUACUUCAUUAGCAAUGUGAACAACAUGCUUAGAAUCAGCACACAAAGAAAUAGUAGAACUAACAUGUUCAUUCACUAGUUGUGGCAUGGAUAUAAGUGAAACAUUAUCACACAACUCUUCUUUAUCACAAGGAAGAGCAAGUAAAUCAACUUGUGACAAAGGCAACUCAGCAAUUGAUUCCACUAAUGGUUGCUCUACUAUAGCAUGAAAAGUGGACAAGUGUAGCUCACCUUGAGAAUACUCACCUUCAUUUCUCUCAGCACCAUUUAAUUUACCUUGCAAACUUUCUUCAGACAUCGCAGGUGCUUCAUCCUCUUUCUUCUCAAGUAUACCAUUCUCCUUUUCUUGGAUGUGCUGAUCUUCCUACAAAAUGUUAGUAACAAGGGAGACAAAAGAUUGCUCCUCCAAUGUUUGCACAUCAUCAUUACAUAAGUAUAUUGGGGAUUCAGAAAUAGGAGAUAAAUCACAUUGGUCAUGCAUCCUCGCCUUUGAUAUGAUCUGACUCUCAAUGCUACGAGCAAGUAUGAAUAGGUGCCCAAUAUGAUUAUAUGUCACAUUAUCAAGCAAAACCUGAAUUUCAGAAUUAAGCCCAUUGAAAAAUCUACGCGUUGUAUUUUCAUUGCACUCUUUGAGACCACUGUAGAUGAUACAGGCCUUAAAUUCAUGAAUGUACUCCCUAACAGUUCUGUCACCUUGUUUCAGAUGUUCUAAUUUCUCCCGAAGAGUACAUUUGUAAUAAGAUGUCACAAAGCGUUUUCUCAUCAUGGUUUUCAAUUCAUCCCAAGUUUCAGGUUUAUUACUAACAUAAGUCCACCAAAAUAAUGCAGAAGAGGUAAACUUAUUACUAGCAGCCUUAAUCAUUUGAGCAUCAGAAAAAUCAUAUAUAUCAAAUUCAUUGUCUACUGCUAGCUCCCAAUCAAUGUAUGCAACAGAAUCAUACUUCCCAUCAUAGAAGGGUAACUUAGAUGCAACUUGUUCAAAAUUAUAGUCAUGUACCUCAUAUGCAUCACGUGGAGAAGUCGUCAUAUCUCGUCGAAGGUGUAGAAGUCGAUGUUCUCGUAUUCCCUUACACAAUCCUGCCAUGGUUAGUAGCAAACAAGAAACACACAAAAAUAUGCACGCUCCUAUCAACUACUAGGUAGUGGCAGCUCAAAUAUCACACACACUCAAGCUUUUAACCAAGCUCUUACAAGUUCUUACCAAAGCAAGCGGAAUGGUGAUGUACAUUGACUUAACCAAGCACCCCAAUGGAGGUUGGAUGUAUCGAUGCCUUGGCAAACACUUGUUGUACGGCUGCAAUCAGAUCUGUGGAGCUCUGGGUAGGCUUAAAUAUGUAGCAAAGGGAUAGCAAAUGCUCAAAUCAGAGAAUGCAAAGUUGAAUAAUGGUUCAAAGUCAAGUACCGUGCUGGUCCUAGGCUAGAACGUACUAGAGACGCGAGCCUAGACACAAGCGAUACCACAGGAUAGCACUAGAAACAACUUAGGCACACUCUGAUAGAUCAUGUUCAGCUCAAAGAUACAACUGAUUUUUUUUCUUUCUUUCUUCUUCCUUCUUUCUUCUUCUUUCUUUUCUCUCUUUUUUUUUGGUGCGGCUUUUCUUUUCUUUUUUCUUUUUAUGCACCUUCCUGCCUUUUCCUUACUUUCUUUUUUUUAUUUUUUUUUCUGCAAAAACAACUCAAGGACCUCAAUGCAAGAUUACCGGGACUCAAAUGUAAAUAUGAAAAUUACAAGGACUCAACUGUAAAAGUCCAGACCAAAAUUAAAAAUUAUACAAAAAUGGAAUGCUGAAUUUAUACUGGUUCUGUUUUUCCAAACGGAUCUCGAAACCGACACCAAACAAAAAUUCACCAAGGUGUUUGACACAACUCGGAACAGGCGAAACCGACGUGAGAGGGAGGGAGUCGGACUCAGCUAAAGUGGGCGACAAAAGGAGAUGGCGCCAACCGGUCUUCACGCGUGGGGAGAGUUUGGAAAGUUUGGCCUUAGAUGGAAACUAACCAACCUGAUUGAUCUAGUCUGCAAAACUUCCUCCAAAAACAGAUCUGUUAUCUUUUCUUUCUCUCCUCUUCCUCGCGCAAGAGAAACAAGCACGGCCGAAAACAGACGACAAACCCUUGAUGCAACUCAGCAACUCCAAGACCGACCGACAAAAACUUCUGAAAACUAGAAAAACGAAACCCCGACAACAAGAUAAUUCCGUUUUCCUAGGUCCCGACGACAACAAAGACACGGCGAGAGCGAUGACAGUGGUACGAAACGUGACCAGAACUCGAAACUCUAAACGAACUAAACGCUAAGACCAGCAACACGACUCGACAAUGCAACACAAAACUCAACAAAGAAAAAACUGAUAAAAACAAUGCAAUGGCACAAUAUGGCUAGGUACAGGAUACAAUUUUUUUUGUAUGGCAAUUUUCUGGUUAUGGGUAGAUAAAACUCACUGAGCAACGAAAGCUCUGAUACCACCUGAUGAACCCUGAGUUCCACUCGAGACACUCAAGGCUGUUGUUGGCCCGAUCUUUCGGUGAGUUGAUGAUAACUACGAUUUGGGAGAAACGUUGACGACCCGACUACAACCGUACGAGACGUUGUGUUGCGCCUUAGCGAUCGAUACACCUCUCCGUGGGUUGUUGAUCUUGCCGGUGCAGAUCAACCUUAUUCCUGCAAGCAAUCGAGAACAAGCAAGAACAAGAUAUAAAGCAACUGAAUUGCUAGAUAGACAAGACGCACAAAGAUGAAUUGAUACACGAUAAAGUGGGGUUCCGAACAAGCAGACGGACGGUCUAGCCGACACGCGCGCUGCAAGCGAAGUAGCAAUGGCUAAACUUACAAUUAAUCAAAACCCAAGAAACCCUGAAAGAGUACCUAACUAUUUAUAGAGGUGGGAGGACAACCAAGAGGGUCCAAGGGUCGUGCUCAACCAGAUUGGGGCGCACCCCACAUGGGCCCCACAUGGGCCAGGGUCCCAAACAAAGUUACAAGUCCAUUGGCCCAAUACAGGUGACGCAGCACCUUGCUUCUGUGAUUGCGGCCAAACGAGAUAGAAUUCCGAGAUGAGGCUAGAUCCGUUGGAAGAAGGACUUCGAGAGCUUUCCAUCAAGUACUCACGGGCCCAAAACGGAGCAUGUAUGUAGAUUUGGCGGCCGUUUGAAGUCAGCAAUGUAACACGUGGCCGAAUCAGAUUGCAGCACAUGGA